GGAGUUGUGGCCUAGUGGUCAGAGCGUUGGACUCACGACUUGAAGGUCGGGGGUUCGAUUCCCGAUUCCA
rfam:Macrostomum lignano uti_cns_0004184, whole genome shotgun sequence.